UGUGUUUGAAGCGUGCACUGUGUGUGUGAGAGAGAGAAGGGGGGAGGGGAUUCGCGGUGAUAACAUCUCCUGUUUGCAAGCCGACACAUUCAAGGUAUUUCAUUUUACAGCUCUGGUACAAUCCGACUAGGAAUUCUUGCUUUUUGCUAAAGACGCGGGCUUUUUUUCUGACUCCAAAAAUAACUUCUAAGGAAAAUGUUCCCCGCCGAGAACCCUGGACUCGAGAUCUUAAACGCAGCAGCAGGAGCGCGUGCACGCGAGACUCAACACGUUUUUUUUCUACGACUGUUGGGUAGAAAUACACAGCAAGCACGGCGCGAGUUUCAAACUUUGAUUCGCUAAAGUUUCAUUAUUUUCCGCAAAGCAAUUUGCAAGACCAAAAAAGGACAACGACGGAGCAGAACUGUUUCAGAAAAGCAUUUGUAAAUGCCUUCUUUUGCAGGACCAAUGCGAAUUUCUUGAUGAAAGGAAAAGCUGCUGGAUCGACCUUUUUCAUUUUGGGGGAAAAGAAAAUCGCAUGGAUUGUGGGUGGUGCUUUCAAAACAAAAUCCAAAGACAACCCGAAGCGAAGUGCACAAAACAGGCGUUUUUAAAGAGAUAGUGAUGUGAUGACCAGGGUGCAUGCACGCUUGAAACGGAAGCGUUUUUGGAAAGGGAAGAUUGCAUUUAUUUCCCACCUAAUUUUCUUCGGGCACAGGAAGUCUUUGCAGUCGAAGCGGAGGACACUAGUCAAGACUACAAAUAUGCAGUUCAAGUUCUGACGCGAACACAUUUUAGAUCCAGCAUAGUGAUGGAUUGCAGAUUGAAAGUGGACGUUUCUUCGCUCAACCUGGCAUCUACAAGCUACUGUACAGCGACUGAAUUGUUCCCCGUAUUGUUCUUUUCCGUAUUUUUCUAUUUUUGAUUUUGGAGAGGAGUGCUGGGGGACGGGGGACAUGUAUGUUGACUAAGGAUUGGGAAUUUUAAGUUACAUGUUAUUAAGAUUGUGUUACAUUGAACACAAACUGUUUAUAAUCAGACAUUUUCCGUCGGACUGUUUUGUGUUAAUGUAACACGUGCUUAUUUAUUUAUGUAUUCAUGUGUUAUUAUUAUUCAUGUUUGCAAUGUGCCUUGCCUGUAGUUUGCAUGUCUGCUUGUUUGAUAUUAGAUGACAAUGUUUACCAAUGAA